rnacentral:misc_RNA from 1 species
GAUGAAGAACGUAGCGAAGUGCGAUAAGUAGUGUGAAUUGCAGAAUUUCGUGAAUCAUCGAAUCUUUGAACGCAAAUUGCACUCUCCGGUUUUCCGGGAGAGUAUGCCUGUUUGAGGUUCAGCCUAAAUAAAUUCGGCUUCGUUGCUGUUGUUUUCGCGGUAACGUUUUUAGUCGGGAUUUGGGUCAUCUUAAACCGAAAGGUUUUUAAGCGACUUAAAAUUUUUUUACGAUCCCACGAACGUUUCUAAGUACUUCUUACACGUUCAGGGUAUCGAAAACCCCUAUUAGGCGUGGCCGUCGUAUCGGAUCGCGUCCAUAAUAUUUAUUCUUUAACUGACCUCAGACAGGUAAGAAUACCCGCUGAACUUAAGCAUAUCAAUAAGCGGAGGA